AAACUGGAAGUACUCUUUAUCAAGCCGUGAGACGCCGUACUUCCUUUUGGUGAUGACGUCAAUCUAGAAAAAGACUAUCUUCAGUAUGCGUAGCAAAGACUCGAUAUCGGUUAGGCAAGGGUCGAGCCGGCGGAGGCCCUGAAAGAUGCAGCAAUCAUCACCGCACCCUAACCCGGAGAGUAAAUCGCUUAUAGGAGAUAGAGUGCAGAGUGAACUCCAAGCGACAAACGAGUUAAAGGUAUAAUAGGAAUGAAUAAUCAGCAGUUGGGCAAACAUCAACAAGCGAGGCUGUGGAGGAAAUGGUCAUGAGGUCAGGAGGUCAUGUUGUCUAAAGCAUGCCGGUCAACUUGACACAAGACGACGCGGAAGUUCAGGGAAUGGUUAUCCCAUAUUACACCGUUCGUAUAGUGCUGGAUGGCUGAUUACCUGCCUUAAAAAGUUAACAUUACUUCAUAUCGCUCCACUUAUCACUGUCACUCACCUUGUAUAGGGCGAAGCCGAUGCCUCCACAAAUCACUCUACUUAUCACUCUGUUACUAACCUUGUAAAGGGCGAAGCCAGUGCCUUCACAGAUCACUCUACUUAUCACUCUGUUACUAACCUUGUAAAGGGCGAAGCCAGUGCCUUCACAGAGCACUUUACUUAUGACUCUGUUACUAACCUUGUACAGGGCGAAGCCAAUGCCUUCACAGAUCUCUCUACUCAUCACUCUGUUACUAACCUUGUAAAGGGCGAAGCCAGUGCCUUCACAGAUCAUUCUACUCAUUACUCUGUUACUAACCUUGUAUAGGGCGAAGCCAGUGCCUUCACAGAUCACUCUACUUGUCACUCUGUUACUAACCUUGUACAGGGCGAAGCCGAUGGUGUGGUUGCUGCCGAUAGGGUUCGCCAAAGUUGAGCGGCGUCUGUCUUUUUGCAUAAGCGCGAUCACGACAGUAGACAAGUUGUCCUCGUCUUCAUUGCCGUCAUGAAGUGUUAUCCUGCGAAUAUGAAGGAACGCAA